CUCAGAAAUAAUUUCAUAAGUCAGAAAUAAUUGAGCAUAAUUCCAGGUUAGUGUUGUCAGAAAACAACAGCUGAUGUAUUGAGUAACUGCUGUGUAUAUAGCACUGUCUUAAUUAUGCUUAAAGGUGAAUGAAAAAUGAGUAAGAGUUAAUACUCCCAGUCAAGAGCUCAGCUACCUAAUGGAGAUUGAACUAUAAAAAUCCAAAUAGGUGUGGGUGAAUAUGUGUGUGAU
rnacentral:lncRNA from 1 species